GCCCGCCUAGCUCAAUCGGAUAGAGCGUCAGACUCUUAGGCGGGUUAGCUCGAAAGAGCUUCUUGUGUAAUCUGAAGGCUGCGAGUUCGACCCUCGCGGUGGGCU